rnacentral:lncRNA from 1 species
GAGGCCAUACCAUCCUCCACCAACACCAUAUCAUCCCACACCAGUUUAUAAGUCUCCACCACCACCAACUCCAGUGUACAAGUCACCACCACCCCCAACUCCCGUUUACAAAUCACCACCACCACCAGUGAAGCCAUACCAUCCCGCACCAGUAUACAAGUCUCCACCACCCCCAACUCCCAUUUACAAAUCACCACCACCACCAGUGAAGCCAUACCAUCCUAAACCUGUGUACAAGUCUCCACCACCACCAGUGAAGCCAUACCAUCCUACACCCGUCUACAAGUCUCCACCACCACCAACUCCCGUCUACAAGUCACCACCACCACCAGUGAAGCCAUACCAUCCUACACCCGUCUACAAGUCUCCACCACCACCAACUCCCGUCUACAAGUCACCACCACCACCAGUGAAGCCAUACCAUCCUACACCCGUAUACAAGUCUCCACCACCACCAACUCCCGUUUACAAGUCACCACCACCACCAGUGAAGCCAUAUCAUCCCUCACCAACACCAUACCACCCUACACCAGCAUACAAGUCUCCACCACCACCAACUCCAGUCUACAAGUCUCCACCACCAACCCACUAUGUUUACUCCUCUCCCCCUCCUCCCUACCAUUACUAAGAAGUGAGUUUACUAUAUCUGAGGUAAUUAAGAUGAACUUAAACCUUUACAAACAUAUAUAACUAAAAUGCAAUGCAAUAAUAAGUUGCACAAUUAUUUCUUCUCUUUUGGUUAGCUUCUUUUAUAUGUUCUCAUUCACAAUAUUAUAUUGUUAUGCAGGAAAAGCAUAAUGUUGAGCUGAAAGAAAGGCAUUUUCCAUUUUCAAGAAGAAAAUUAUAGUAAAUAAUAAGGCUUACAGAAGAUCAGACGAAGUUCUUUUGUAGCUUCAUGUUAUCUAACUAGUCUUAGUGAUAUAUUGUUUUUGUACUCUAUUUUUAUAUAUUACUUUUAUGUGUCUUUGUGUAUGUUUGCUCACUUUCAAUCUUCUUGCAAAAUGCAGAGAUUAAUUAUGAGAUUAUCAUGAAUAAAAUAAGUUAUUACUACUCCCAUAUGUUUUAAUUAACUUCUCAUCACAAUACAUAUUACCUUUGUUUUCAUUUUAUCAUGUGCUCAUAUUUAAUUUAUAAAAUUAUAAUGUGAACACAACAUUUACAAUUUUUUUCAAAUAGAACUAUUUUUAUAUAUAUAUAUAUAUAUAUAUAUAACAGGAUGCUCAAAUUAAUAACCAACGAAUUUCAUGUACUUAUGGUUAUAAUUCAAUCAAAUUCGAGUAUUGUAGUCCAUUUACGAUAACAAAAUAAAAAAAUUAUUUAAUAAUCACAUAAUACGUUGUUAAACUUUUGUAAAGUAUAUGAUUUCAGAAGCUCAAACAAAAAAUUACAAUCCAAAAUAUUUUAAAAAUAAUAGUUUAAAAUUUUCACGCAUCACAUAAAUAUAUAUACUUACUCCAAGCCUAUCCUAUUCGAAAUUUUCAGCUAUUGAUGUAGCCUCUUGUCGAUACUACUAAUCUUCUCGCUACCUACUAGAAAAAUCCCAUCAAAAUAGAUUGAAUCGAUGACCUAUACUUCAACUAAAGGCACGAGGGCGUAGCGAGCUUAACUAUUAUCGUAAUAUAAGAUGAAAUCCACCCAUUUUGAUAUCACAUACACGUCUUUAAAACUGAUAAAAUAAUGAGGUCUACUCUUAGUCAAAAUUAAAUGAUUGUAGACCACAUCUACAGUUCCCAAUUGUCAACAAUUCGAUCCUCCGCGUUUGUGGUAGGUUUCACUUUCAUUUCUUCGGUUCGAUUUUAUCAAAUUUUAAUUUGAUUCUUUAAUUUUUAAUUUUGAAAAAAUGUGUAUGGAAUGUUGAAUCGAACUAAUUUGUUUAAUUAUCCUUUUAAAAAAUUAGUUUAAAACAAAAAUUGAAUUUCAAUAAAAUUUAAUGAAAAAAUUAUUCAAAUUGAUUAGGUAACCUUUUAAGUCAAAUAUCAAUAGUUGAAUAAUUUUAUAGGUAAAAUAUUCAUAAUUGAGUGACUUUGAGAUCAUACAAGAAAAUUGAGUGACUUUAUAAGAGAAAAAAUCUUAGUUAAAAUAAUUUUUUAUGAGAAAAAAUUCUUAAGUAACUUUAUGGCAUUAUAAAAAAAAAAUUAACUCCUCUUUAAAUUAGAAUUACAAAAUUAAAAGUAAGUUUCAUUUUAAAGAUAAGGACAUUAUUAGUAAAAAUAAUUGGUGAACAUUUUCCAAUGAAAAAAUAAUAUUUUUCUAAAAUAGCUAAUAGAUGAUAAUUCGUUUCUUAGGCGUAAAAAUGUUAGGACAUGUUAGCCUCACUCAGUUGAAUAAAUUGCUCACCAAGAACAUAAUCAUUGAAUAUCCUAAAACAAAGUUUAAAAAUGAAUUAAAAAAAAAUCAGUAAUAAAAAAAUACAUGCAAACUAUCUACAAAUGUAUUAUUAUUAAUUUUUAAAUAAAAAAGAGUAAAUGAAAGAGAAUAGAAGAUCUUUGACUUGUUAAUUAAGACAAAUAUUUGUCUAAUAUAAGUAUGUCGGUAAUAACAAUGUAGACUAAGAUCUGUACUUGUUUAUAUAUCCAUAUCCCUUAAUGUUAGGACCAUUAAAAUUAUUAAUUUAGUUUAACUAAUUAAUGGGAUCUUAUAAAUACAUUAAUAAUAUUACUGUUGUCGGUGAUUAAGUUAAUGCUAAUACUUAAUUGUUUUUUUUUCCAAUUAAAAUGUCAAAGUCGUUAGAUGAACCAAAAUGGAAUCGUCCAUGAAGAUGGUACCAGAGUACAAUUAUUGAAUAAUAUCUUUUUUUUUUAACUUCAAAAAUUAAAGUGGAAUUCAAUUACCUACUUUAUAAAUGUAUGGCAACUUGGCAAUAAUUCAUUAAAUUUCAGGAAGAACAAAAACCAUCGAUAAUUUAGAUUAAUUUAAGAGAUAAAUGUCAAAAACACAUUUAAUAUAUUACAUAUUUUAAAAAAAUUCAUACUUCACCCCGUCUCUUUUCGAAAAAAUUGAUAUUAUUUUAUUUUUUAAAAAAUAGGAAUUCUAUCCAUCCUAUAUAACCUCCUGUUCCUAAUUUUUUUAUAUAUAUUUUUGUGAGUUUGUAUUAGAUAUGUACAUAUAUUUUUAGGAAUUCUUUCUACUUGUGUACCAAAUAUAAAGUAAAUAAAAUAUUUAUUUUUUAAAAAAGUCUUGAGGCCGUGGCAAAUAAAAAUUAUUUUCAAUAUGUUUAUAUCUAACACAAAAGGAGAAAAAGUUCGAAAGCGGACGGUUAGGUGGGGUAGGUAUAUAUUUUUUUAAAGCAAAUUAGUUAUAUAUAUAUUUUUGUGUGUGUGGGGUUUGGGGGGGGGGGUAAAAAAAAGUUAAAUACCUUUACAAAAGAAAUUUAAACAAAAAAAACUAAAAAAAAAAAAAGGGUGGGGGGAGGGUUGGACGGUUAGAGAAAGUGAUGGAGUGGGUGGGGAGGCGAGCAAAAUUGGGAGGGAGACGAGCAAACUUUGUACGUAUCGUAACCCAGAACAUGUGAAUCAAGCAAGAUACACACUAGGUACAUGUAUUUGUACGUGUCUAGAGGAAUUCACAUAUAUCUGGGAUAUCAUAUUCUUGGAAGAAUGACGAGCAAAAUAGAACAGAGGCAAGGAAGGAAAACGAGAUAUACUAUGUAUCCAAAUACAUGCGAAUUCAAUAAAUAUAAUGUAUCUAGAACAAAUUACACCUAAAUUUGAUCGAGAUAUUCGAGAUACAUGUAUCUCAAGGCACCAAAAUCUGAUUUUUAUAUAUAUAUAUAUAUAUGAAAGUUUAUGUGAUCGAUAAAACUAAUAGCUUAGUAUUUCAAUGGUAUCAUUUCUACACAAAAUAGUUCUACCUCAAUUUAUGACAAAAAUGAUUUUAUUUAUAUGAGAUCAAAUUUAUAGGGUUUCGAUGACCAUGAUAAAACAGGAGAAUGUACAAAAAUACUUAAGUCCUUGUUUAUAAUAUACCAUUUUGCCAAAAUAUUUGCAGCUCGAUUAACUUUCUUAUAGAAAUGUUGAACCUUUCAAAUAAUAGUGCUUGAUAUAAUGAUAUAUUGUAAAUAUGAAAAGUGAUGUUUUUCAUUUUCCAAAGAAUACCACUAAAAUAGUUCUUUCUAACAUCAUGUAUAAAUUUUUAUGCAAGUAAAACAUUUUAAAUAAUAAUCUACGAAACUUGUUAUUUGAUCCUCAUAGAUAUUAUAACAUUUAGUUUUAGUGCUUAUGAAAAUAAUUUUGUUAGAACAAUAUUUCCAUUAUACGUAUAAAAAGUUCACAUUGUUCUUUGUUUUUAAAGAUACAAUAUCCUAAUUAUUUCAUUGUUAUUCCAUCUCUAUUAUUCAUUGAGCAUAAUUUGAAUAAUUUAUUUUUAUCAUAUUAUUACCAAUAUAAUCAUAGAAAGUCAAAUAAGAAAACUAAUUUUCCUUGUUACUAUUUCUUUGAUUAAUUGGAAUUAGAGACAACUAAAAAAUUUAUAUUUGUAUGCUAUAGCAAAUUUUGCAUAAUUAAGCUCCAUAGCAAACAUAAAACUGUAUAAUUUGCUAUACAUAUACAAUUGUAUAAUUCGCUGGCCUAUUUCGCUGCAAUAGUAUAAUUUGUUUUGCAUACAGUUGAAUCGAAUUAAAAUGUAUGUAUAUUGCAUAAUUAUAAGUGUAUAGCAAGAAGAUAUAUGUUUUUCUCGCUUUAUACAAAAACAGAAACACAAUAUAUACACUUUUGUUGUAUAAAGCUAGAGAAAAUUGUAUUUCACUGCAAUUGUAUAAUUCGCAAUUGUAUAAUUCGUUGGCCUUUUUCUCUGCAAUAUUUGAAGUAAAAUGUUUGCAAAUUGUGUAAUUAAGUGUAUAACAUGAAGAUAUAUAUUUUUGCAUGUGUAUAUACAAUUUUCUCUCGCUUUAUACAAAACAGAAACAGAAUUAUACACUUCUGUGUAUAAAGCGGGAGAGGCGAGCGAGAAUGGAGAGUGGCGAGCGAGAUUUUUGGGAGAGAGACGCUGGCAAAUUUUAGCUAAUGUUUGCUAUGGAGCAAAAUUAAAUCAAAUCCUAGCUAUUCCAUUUAAUUUAGGUUAUUAGUUUGCUAUUAUAUACAAUUUUUUCUAUUAUUAUUAAUCGGAUGCAUUUCACUCCGCACAUAAAUAACUUCCAAUAAUUUAAUAUUAAUUAUAUAUGCUCUAUUAAAUAAUUUUUAAAUAUAAAAUAAUAUUAUGGUAGAUUUGGGGGUGUCAAAAUCAAGUCAAUUUGUCAAACUCCCCUAUUCCAUUUAAUUUAUCAACUCUAACUCAUCUCAACCUAAUUUAGUUUAAUUCAUAUUUAAACAGUGAAUUGAUAUAUAAUUCAAAUUAGCUUAUCAAAAUAUUUUUAAAAUAAUAUUUUAAAAUUUGAUAUGUUAUAUAUAGUCGUAAUAAAGAAAAAAAUAAACUUAUUAGGUGCUAAAAAAUUUUAAAAAGAGCAAACUAAACAACUAAAUUUUAGUAAAAAUUGAAGGGGUUAUAUUAGAAAUCGAAUUUAACUUAAUUAUGUCCAAUUCAUUUCAAUUCAAAUAGACAAUAGCUAAUGAUCCAUUCAUUUGUUAACUCAUUAAAAUUCAAUCGGUUCAAAUUCAGGUCAACUCUCCUAUACCAAACUUCUAGUAGAUCUUAAUCAAUAAAAAUUUGGACACGAAAACAAUUCAUUCAUUUCAUCCAUCAAAUUAUUAAUAAGUGACACCAUCUUAGCGACCCAGUUCAUCGUAUUAUAUUAAGAAAAAAUAACUUAAAUACACAAUUAUAAGUUUUAUAUUUUCUAAUUUUCCCUUCUUUUUUUUAAAUAUUACAUAAUUUCCUUUUUUUAAAAUUUUAGUGUAAGUUUAUAGAUACAUUACAUUCUCUCUCCUAUAGUACACAAUUACCCAUUUUAAUGCCUAUUUAUUCUCCAUUAAAACACUCAACCUUUUAAAUAAAAGACCUAAUUUUGAAUUUCAAAAUUCAAAAAAUUUCAAAUUUCAAAAAUCAGGUUCUCCCGUUUUUCUUACUCCAUCAAGUUUCACUUCCUUUUUUCCCAUAAUCAUCUUCCUUCUUCUUAACCUAGCAGAAUUUACUGGUUUCUUCUUUUUAUUCUUAAUCCAUCAUCUUUUUCUUCUUAAUCUGUAAUCGUCUUAACCCAAUAUCUUUUUAUUAUUAAUCCAUCAUCAGUUCGUCUUUUCUUCUCUUUUUUCUUUUUGUUAAUUGUUCUAUUACAUUAUAGUAAUGGAUCCGUUAAUUAAUAGAAGGAUAUAUGAUUCCGACGAUGAAAAUUGGAAAGAAAAUAGGAAAAAGUUUUUGCAUGAUCCUAUGAAUCUUCAGAAGGAUUCAAACAAAGACUCUGGCGAAACAUCAAAAUCAAAGGUUAUCAAAAUACAACAAAAAAAGAAAAAAGAAGCAGCAAACAUUGUUGUUAGGCCUACAUUGUCUCGGGUUAGUAUUUUGGUACUUAAAACUGUUGUUGAAAUUAGUAAAAAUUUUAAGGAAUCUAGUGUGCUUGCCGAUACAUUUGAAUAAGUGUGUAUAGUGUUUUAGAGGUGAAUUGAUACAUGAAUUUGUUGUGUAUCAUAAUAUUUUAUAUGUAUCAUGAAGUUUUGAAAAUUGUUAUAAUGUAUCAUUCAAUAAGUUUAGUAAAUACGUCAUCAACUGUGCUUGAUGAUACAUAUAGAAUCAGUGUGUACGGUGUUUAGUCAAUUCACUGAUACAUGUAAGAGAUAUGUAUCACAUGUUUUGCAUAUAGUAUGAAUUUCUGAAAACUGAUAUCAUGUAUCAGUAAGGUAUUAGUUGUUUAGUUGAUGUACUGAUACAUGUUUGAAAAUUGUUAUAAUGUAUCAUUCACUAAGUUUAAUAAAUGCGUCAUCAACUGUACUUGAUGAUACAUAUAGAAUCAGUGUGUAUAUUGUUUAGUCGAUGUUUCUGAUACAUGCAUUAGAUACGAAAUUGAAUCUCCAACAACGAUUCCGUCGAUUUUGUAACUUUCAUACUGCAAUUCGUUCACCUAAAUUCCGGAAUGUCUCAUCAAAAUCGAAGUAUUCAUCUUGAAAAAUCCACUGUAACAACAAUAAAAUUAUUGUAGUUUGAAAUUUAACAGAUUGUUCAAAAAAAUUGUUUUCAAAAUAGAUGACAUAAUCUUUGUUUUUCAAAAUUUGAAAUUAAUAUCUAAUUAAGUGCUGAUUUUAUGCUGAUUAAUGAUAUGUUACCGUAAAUUUAGCUGUUUUAUUAACAACAUUAACUGUACCGUUUUUCCCCUUUUUUUUCUCAACAGUUUAAAAUUACCAUGUAUCAUUUACCUUGUAUCACGAGAGUCUAAAGUAUCACGGCUCAACAAAUUUAAGAGAUUUUUUGUAAAUACUAAAUUUAUCGGAACAAAAUGAAAUUAUUGAAUUACACUAUAGGAUUCCUUAAAUUAUUACUUAUAUUAAUCUUUAGUAUGGGGACCUAAAUAUUUAACUUUCCAAUUCCUUUAGGGGUCAAUUUGAUUGAUUAUAAUGAGUGAAUUAUACUAUAAAAAUUGAAAUAAUAAUUAAUGUUUGUAGAGCAUAUUAAAUUAUUUUAUCAUGACUACAGUUGGUGUUGAUUGAAUUGGAAAUAAGAUAUAUACGGUAUAUAAUAUAUAUAGAAAUUUUAAUUUGAUUAGUUGAUUUUGUAUUUUCAGACAAAUUUUAUUUUUAAUUUUACCUUUCUUAAAGAACUUUUAGUUUGGUUGUUUUAUCAUGGAAUUAGCUAAUUAUUAAUCUAGAGAAUUGCUAUUCCAUAUACAACUUUGGUACAAUUAGAGAAUUAUAAUAUAAUUAAUUUCAAAAUUACUUAUAUUUAGGAACAAAAGUUUCAAUCAAACGAUAAAUAAUUGAAUAUUUUAUCUCAGAAUUAGUAUUAUUAUUAUUAAUACUAAUUAACGAUCCUAAGUUUUGAUUUUGUCACUCCGGUCCUUUUCUUUUAAUCUUUUCACAAACCAACUACAUUUGAUUGCAUUAACUAUAAAGUCCAUUUGCAUUAUUUUACAUAUCAAUUAAUAUUACUAAACUAAAUUUAUCUAUAAUUACUGAUUUAAAUGUAUACAUAUUUUCUCACCAACAAGGCAUAUAUAUUAGACUCAUUAAAAUUAAACGUUGCUUCAUGUGAUGUGUUCAAUUGGUUAGACUAUCUCGUCAAAUAUAUUGUUCGCAAAUAAACAAUGCUCAAAUGAAUGAUAUUAAUGUUGUUGGUGAAUAUUACAAGCUUCUCGUAACGUUUUGUUAGCUUACGUAUGAAUGUGCAAUAUUAUUUCUACUUAUUUUGUCAAACACUAAAAAAGUAAGUAAAAAACUUGUUUAUGUGAGAUAAUAUUUUUCUUUGUACCUAAAAAGUGCAUUAAUUUAUAUAGCUAAAAUAGUGCAAAGUUGAGGCCUCCACGCAUUAUUUUUGGUGAGAAGAAGAAUGAGAAGACUUUCUAUCUCUUUGAAUUAUUGCAUCACAAACAGUAUAGCUGCCUUAAUAGUUUAUUCAUUUGCUUAGCUUAAUGCCUCUAUCCAUCAAAUUAAAUAUACAACUAACAAGACAAAACCAAAUGAAAAUGCAUAACUCUAGGAUUUUACCUACAUUUGUAUAAAUUUUGGUAAGGGUAUCUGUCUAAAUGAAAACUAUAUAAAGGGGUUUGAGUGAAGCUUAAGAUGACAACAACUUUCUCCUUUGUUUCGAAUAUGGGGAAAAUGGCCUUUCUAGUUGCCACCCUUUUAGUGGUUUUAGUGUCACUUAGCUUAGCAUCUGAAAUUUCAGCUAAUUAUCAAUACUCAUCUCCCCCACCACCAAAGGAGCCAUACCACCCUUCACCAACACCAUAUCAUCCCACACCAGUUUACAAUUCUCCACCACCACCAAAAGAGCCAUACUACCCUCCACACACUCCAGUGUACAAGCCGCCACCACCCUCGACACCUAUUUACAAGUCGCCGCCACCACCCAAAGAGCCAUACUACCCUCCACACACCCCUGUCUACAAGUCACCACUUCUACCAACUCCAGUUUACAGGUCGCCACCACCUCCCAAGGAGCCAUACUAUCCUCCACACACACUAACCUACAAGUCGCCACCUCCACCAACUCCCGUUUACAAGUCACCACCACCUCCAAAGGAGCCAUACUACCCUCCACAUGCACCAACCUACAAGUUGCCACCACCUCCCAAGGAGCCAUACUACCCUCCCCACACCCCAACCUACAAGUCCUCACCUCCACCAACUCCGUUUUACAAUUCACCACCACCUCCCAAAGAACCAUACUACCCUCCUCACACACCAACCUACAAGUCGCCACCCCCACACAAGGAUCCAUACUACCCUCCACACACACCAACCUAUAAGUCACCACCUCUACCAACUCCUGUUUACAAGUCGCCACAACCGCCCAAGGAGCCAUAUUACCCUCCACACACACCAACCUACAAGUCACCACCUCCACCAACUCCCGUUUACAAGUCACCACCACCUCCCAAGGAGCCAUACUACCCUCCACACACACCAACCUACAAGUCACCACCUCCACCAACUCCCAUUUACAAGUCACCACCAC